ensembl:snoRNA SNORD116 Small nucleolar RNA SNORD116
AGACCCUUAAAGAGCCAAAGCCUUCCUUGGAAAAUCUGAACAAAAUGAGUGAGAACUCACUACCGUCUCCUCAUCGAAACUGAGGUCC